rnacentral:rRNA from 1 species
ACGAACGCUGGCGGCGUGCUUAACACAUGCAAGUCGAGCGGUAAGGCCCUUUCGGGGGUACACGAGCGGCGAACGGGUGAGUAACACGUGAGCAAUCUGCCCUUCACUUCGGGAUAAGCCUCGGAAACGGGGUCUAAUACCGGAUAUGACCGUGCCAUGCAUGUGGUGUGGUGGAAAGUUCUGGCGGUGGAGGAUGAGCUCGCGGCCUAUCAGCUUGUUGGUGGGGUAAUGGCCUACCAAGGCUUCGACGGGUAGCCGGCCUGAGAGGGUGACCGGCCACACUGGGACUGAGACACGGCCCAGACUCCUACGGGAGGCAGCAGUGGGGAAUAUUGGACAAUGGGCGAAAGCCUGAUCCAGCAACGCCGCGUGAGGGAUGACGGCCUUCGGGUUGUAAACCUCUUUCAGCGCCGACGAAGCGAAAGUGACGGUAGGCGCAGAAGAAGCACCGGCCAACUACGU